rnacentral:rRNA from 1 species
UACGUAGGGUGCAAGCGUUAAUCGGAAUUACUGGGCGUAAAGCGUGCGCAGGCGGUGGCGUAAGACAGGUGUGAAAUCCCCGGGCUUAACCUGGGAACUGCAUUUGUGACUGCAUCGCUGGAGUGCGGCAGAGGGGGAUGGAAUUCCGCGUGUAGCAGUGAAAUGCGUAGAUAUGCGGAGGAACACCGAUGGCGAAGGCAAUCCCCUGGGCCUGCACUGACGCUCAUGCACGAAAGCGUGGGGAGCAAACAGG